GGCCCCAUGAGAUUGUUCCUGCUGAGUUUUCCAACGUACUCUUUGCGAGCUUCCAUGGUGUUGCUUAUCGUCCUGGCCACCCUGGUCAUCUACCACGUUUUUAUCCAUGUAGCUAAGCUUAUAUUGGAAGUCCGUAAGAUGGCCCUCGAGCUAAGCCAGCCAUUGGGAAGACCCAAGAACCCGGAAACAGGUCACGCUGCUGGUAAAGAUGAACACGCACACCAGACAGGGGAAUCUAAUAUGCAACUUCUUCAGCCACCAUCGAUCUAAAAAGAAAAGCGCAAAGAUGCUUUGAUGUGGUUUUGUUGUGGCUGUUGUUUUAUAUAGGCUGUGCCUUAAAUUGCAGUUGUGCAUCGCUUCAUUGUUACCUUGUUGGCAAUUCAUAUUAGUGUCUUUUAUUGUCAUGUUGAUAGCUAGUAAUUGUUUCGGUUGAUUAAAUACUUUACUUCCUCAAUUUAAAAAAAAAUCAUCAAAACAAA
rnacentral:sRNA from 1 species